rnacentral:tRNA from 1 species
CAAAAAAUAGUUUAGUAGAGAAUACUAGCUUUGGGGGCUAGUGGCGGGGGUUCAAGCCCCUCUUUUUUGA